rnacentral:rRNA from 1 species
UCUGGUUGAUCCUGCCGGAGGUUACUGCUAUCGAGGUUCGACUAAGCCAUGCGAGUCGAAUGUAGCAAUACAUGGCGUACUGCUCAGUAACACGUGGACAACCUACCCUGAGGUCGGGGAUAAACCCGGGAAACUGGGUAUAAUACCCGAUAGAUCUAGAUUGCUGGAAUGCUUUUAGGUCUAAAGUUCCGACGCCUCAGGAUGGGUCUGCGGCCUAUCAGGGUAGUAGUGGGUGUAAAGUACCUACUAGCCUACGACGGGUACGGGUUGUGAGAGCAAGAGCCCGGAGAUGGAUUCUGAGACACGAAUCCAGGCCCUACGGGGUGCAGCAGGCGCGAAACCUUUACAAUGCUGGCAACAGCGAUAAGGGGACCUCGAGUGCUACGAUACAAUCGUGGCUGUCUAGUUGCCUAAAAAGCAAUUGAUAGCAAGGGCCGGGCAAGACCGGUGCCAGCCGCCGCGGUAACACCGGCGGCUCGAGUGGUAACCGCUAUUAUUAGGUCUAAAGGGUCUGUAGCCGGCUUAGUUAGUCUCUUGAGAAAUCUGGCCGCUCAACGGUCAGGCGUUCAGGGGAUACUGCUAAAGCUCGAGACCGGGAGAGGUGAGAGGUACUUCAGGGGUAGGGGUGAAAUCUUGUAAUCCUUGAAGGACCACCAGUGGCGAAGGCGUCUCACCAGAACGGAUCUGACGGCAAGGGACGAAAGCUAGGGGCACGAACCGGAUUAGAUACCCGGGUAGUCCUAGCCGUAAACGAUACUCGCUAGGUGUCGGCCACGGUGCGACCGUGGUCGGUGCCGUAGGGAAGCCGUGAAGCGAGCCACCUGGGAAGUACGGCCGCAAGGCUGAAACUUAAAGGAAUUGGCGGGGGAGCACUACAACGGGUGGAGCUUGCGGUUUAAUUGGAUUCAACGCCGGAAAUCUUACCGGGGCCGACAGCGAUAUGAAGGCCAGGCUAAGGACCUUGCCUGAUUAGCUGAGAGGUGGUGCAUGGCCGUCGUCAGUUCGUACUGUGAAGCAUCCUGUUAAGUCAGGCAACGAGCGAGACCCA